GCCCUUAGAGUUUGAUCCUGGCUCAGAUUGAACGCUGGCGGAAUGCUUUACACAUGCAAGUCGAACGGGUUUUGGAGCUUGCUCCAAAGCUAGUGGCGAACGGGUGAGUAAUACGUCGGAACGUGUCCCGUAGUGGGGGAUAACGCACGGAAAGGUGUGCUAAUACCGCAUAUGCCGCGAGGAGGGAAAAGCAGGGGAUCGAAAGACCUUGUGCUAUGGGAGCGGCCGGACGUCGGAUUAGCUAGGUUGGUGGGGGUAAAGGCCCACCAAGGCGGACGAUUCCGUAGGCUGUUCUGAGAGGGAUGAUCAGCCCCCCUGGAACUGAGGACACGGUCCAGACUCUUACGGGAGGGCAGCAGUGGGGGAAUUUUGGACCAAUGGGGGAAAAGCCUGAUCCAGCCAUUCCUGCGUGAGGUGAAGGAAGGCUUUCGGGUUGUAAAAGCUUCUUUGGGCAGGGGAGAGAGAACGGCGGAACUCUAACAUAGUUUUGCGUAAUGACGGUACCCUGAAGAGAGAAGCACCGGGCUAACUACGUGCCCAGCAGCCGCGCGGUAAUUACGUAGGGUGGCGAGGCGUUAAUGGGAAUUACUGGGCGUAAAGCGUGCGGCAGGGCGGUUUUUGUUAGUCAGAUAGUGAAAGCCCCGGGCUUAACCCUGGGAACUUGCGUUUGAAACCUUCAGGGCUAGAGUUUGGCAGAGGGGGGUAGAAUUCCACCGUGUAGCAGUGAAAUGCGUAGAUAUGUGGGAGGAAUACCGAUGGCGAAGGCAGCCCCCUGGGUCAAAACUGACGCUCAUGCACGAAAGCGUGGGGAGCAAACAGGAUUAGAUACCCUGGUAGUCCACGCCCUAAACGAUGUCAACUAGUUGUCGGGGAGGGUGACCUCUUUGGUAACGCAGCUAACGCGUGAAGUUGACCGCCUGGGGAGUACGGUCGCAAGAUUAAAACUCAAAUGAAUUGACGGGGAAGGGC
rnacentral:rRNA from 1 species